UUUAGUUUUCAAUUAUUAUCUAUUAAAUUUUGAAAACCCGGCGUGAUGAAUCAUAGUAGUUAAGUGCACCCACUAAGACUUUAAGAUUAGAUUCAUGAGACCUAUUAAGAUUAUAGAUUUCUUGUAGGCUUUGUGGAUCGUGAGGAUUAGCACUGCUAUACCGAUUCAGAGUUAAGAUUAAACGACAGGCAUUGCCUAAUCAGGUUGAUUGGUCGGUGCUGACGGGGCAGAGCUGAGGCUAGGGUUCAACUCCGUAUUUUGUCUUCCGCUGUUGCAUUAGCUCUUAUUUGUCUUAUGUUUCUCUAUCUUAAAAACUUCUAUGUUAAAUUCUGAAUUAUGUUUCU